rnacentral:rRNA from 1 species
UACGUAGGGUGCGAGCGUUGUCCGGAAUUAUUGGGCGUAAAGAGCUCGUAGGCGGUUUGUCGCGUCUGCUGUGAAAACGCGAGGCUCAACCUCGCGCCUGCAGUGGGUACGGGCAGACUAGAGUGUGGUAGGGGGAGACUGGAAUUCCUGGUGUAGCGGUGGAAUGCGCAGAUAUCAGGAGGAACACCGGUGGCGAAGGCGGGUCUCUGGGCAACAACUGACGCUGAGGAGCGAAAGCGUGGGGAGCGAACAGG